CUGACUCUGGCUCCAUCGCAUCCGAGAAGACGGUGCUCGCUGUGAGUUCAACGGGGACAGGAUCGGGCCUUGUACGCAGGCCAGCUGGCAGAAAGCGCGUCUGAACAAAGCUGUUGCCAGAAGUGUUUUGUCAGCCACCAAGGAAGAAGUACAAAGGGUGCAAACACACGACAAAGCCUCUGUUGCUAAAGUCACUCUGCUGUGGAUUGGCCACCAUCACCCUUGCAUUGUAGGAGUAACGCCUCCAGGUUCAGAAGGGCAAAGAGGGAAGCAAAUUCAGUACCAGCAUCUCCCUGCAUACCUCUGAAGCAUGCAGGCUUAGAAAAGAGUGCCAAAGAACGAACGCCAAUGUCAACACCAGAGGAUCAUCCUAUUGCCUGCAAUGAAUAAUACCUUCUUGGUGCUAAAUUGUUAAGCCCAGAUUCAUAGCUGAUGUUAAUAACAACUUCUUCCUUGGAAAAAUGCCGUAUUGAAAGACAAUUUCCUGUGUUGCUAAUGGAUUUGGAGUUCUUU